GCUCAGUCUGAUAAGCUCAGUUGGUAGAGCAUGAGACUCUUUACCUCAUGGUUGUGGGUUUGAGCCCCAUGUUGGGCG